rnacentral:rRNA from 1 species
UAGGGAAUCUUCCGCAAUGGACGCAAGUCUGACGGAGCAAUGCCGCGUGAAUGAAGAAGGUCUUCGGAUUGUAAAGUUCUGUUAUCAGAGAAGAACAACUCAUAGAGUAACUGUUAUGAGUUUGACGGUAUCUGACUAGAAAGCCACGGCUAACUAAGUGCCAGCAGCCGCGGUAAUACUUAGGUGGCAAGCGUUGUCCGGAUUUAUUGGGCGUAAAGGGAGCGCAGGCGGUGUAUAAAGUCUGAUGUGAAAGUCCACGGCUCAACCGUGGGAUUGCAUUGGAAACUGAUACACUUGAGGAUAGAAGAGGAUAGUGGAAUUCCAUGUGUAGUGGUGAAAUACGUAGAUAUAUGGAGGAACACCAGUGGCGAAGGCGGCUAUCUGGUCUAUCACUGACGCU